UACGUAGGGGGCAAGCGUUGUCCGGAAUCAUUGGGCGUAAAGAGCGUGUAGGCGGCCCGAUAAGUCCGCCGUGAAAGUCCAGGGCUCAACCCUGGAAUGCCGGUGGAAACUGUCGGGCUGGAGUCCGGAAGAGGCGAGUGGAAUUCCUGGUGUAGCGGUGGAAUGCGCAGAUAUCAGGAGGAACACCAAUAGCGAAGGCAGCUCGCUGGGACGGUACUGACGCUAAGGCGCGAAAGCGUGGGGAGCGAACAGG
rnacentral:rRNA from 1 species